AAAAAUACCAAAAAAAAAACACAAGCAAAGAAGAAACAAGAAAAGA
rnacentral:sRNA from 1 species